UAGAGACUGCCGGUGUCAAACCGGAGGAAGGUGGGGAUGACGUCAAGUCCUCAUGGCCUUUAUGACCAGGGCUACACACGUACUACAAUGGCAGGUACAAAGGGCAGCCACUUAGCGAUAAGGCGCGAAUCCCAUAAAACCUGUCUCAGUCCGGAUUGGAGUCUGCAACUCGACUCCAUGAAGUUGGAAUCGCUAGUAAUCGCAGAUCAGCACGCUGCGGUGAAUACGUUCCCGGGCCUU
rnacentral:rRNA from 1 species